rnacentral:rRNA from 1 species
CACGCCGUAAACGAUGAUCACUAGUGAUAUGGGGCUUCGACCCCCUGUGUCACAAAGCUAACGCGUUAAGUGAUCCGCCUGGGGAGUACGAACGCAAGUUUAAAACUCAAAGGAAUUGACGGGGACCCGCACAAGCGGUGGAGGAUGUGGUUUAAUCCGAAGCUACGCGCAGAACCUUACCGAGGCUUGACAUCCCAGGAAGACCGUCGAAAGACAGUUGUGCCUUUUGGAACCUGGUGACAGAUGC